AACAAGUUUAGUUUUAAAUUUUAUAUGGAAAUUCAAUAAAAAUACAACCUAUUUAAUUAAUUCGUGAUAACAUGUUUAAACCACUACACCAUGACCAUAGUCUUCUUCACCCUCUUGCGCCUUGAAGUUGAAAUCCUUAUGAGACCCAUCACCGGCGGCGUUUGUGACUCUUGAGACACGCCUGAUUAUAACGGCGCAGUACCUGAAACUCAUCGAAGAAAUGAACCCAACAAUUCGUUACUCGAGAAGGUCGUCACGGCCGACGCAAGUGGAGCAGUGUACAGUGUGUUUAGCAGAGCUUGAAGAAGGUGAGAAAGUGAGGAAAUUGAAAUGCAAGUACAGUUUCCACAAGGACUGCUUGGAUUAAUGGCUUCAACAACAGUAUUGGGUGACUUGUCCACUUUGUAGGACCAAAGUUUUGCCAGAUGAGAUUGUGGCUAAUUAUCACAGGCAGGUGGAUUAUGAUGAGAGUAGUGAUGACGAUAUGAUCUUCUUGUUAUCUGCAUUACACGAACAAAUUGCUUGGAUUGGAAGACGCACAUAUAAUUUUGUAGCGUGGGAACUGCCAAGUCCUUGUUUUGGGUAUGGAAGGUUCUGAUUUUGUGUUAUUAGUGUAUUGAGAGGCCACAAAUUAGGCUCACUUUCCAUAUGGCUAUCUGGGGAAGAGUUUAUAGAGGGGAGGGUUGGUGAUGUAAUUUACGGAACAGCUGCAUAGUAGCUAUCAAUGCUUAAAUACUGCCAAGAAGUAGGCAGGCAGUUGCUAUAGCUAUUGAUAAACAGCCUAUAGUUGUUAAUUCACUAUCAAUAUCUUUCUUUUCAAGGACCAGUGGUUGGUCAAGACA